GCACCCGUAGCUCAACUGGAUAGAGUGUCGGCCUCCGAAGCCGAAGGUUGCCAGUUCGACCCUGGCCGGGUGCA
rnacentral:tRNA from 5 species